CAACUUGUGAAAGCCACUGAUGGUACAAACAAGGAUUCAUGGCAGACUACAACCCAAAAAGGUGUAUUGCCAACAGGAUGGGGUUGAAAAAACAAGGCUCUAGGGACUGAGAGGGUGGUACGGCUUGUGACAAUACUCCAUGCAACUCCUCCGCUGAGAAGUCUUUCAGUCCGAGGAACCGCUCCGCCACAGCCAUAUCUCUCUUUCCUCUUUCUCUCUUUCUUUCUCUCUUCUUUCAGAGGACCUGAGCCCUAGGACCAUGCCUCAGUACUACCUGGCCUGAGGACUCCUUGCUGUCCCCAGUCCACCUGGUCAUGCUGCUGCUCCAGUUUCAACUGUUCUGCCUGCGGCUAUGGAACCCUGACCUGUUCACUGGACAUGCUACCUUGUCCCGGACCUGCUGUUUUGGACUCUCUCUCUACCACACCUGCUGUCUCUAACUCAGAAUGAUCGACUAUGAAAACCCAACUGACAUUUACUCCUGAGGUGCUGACCUGUUGCACCCUCUACAACCACUGUGAUUAUUAUUAUCUGACCCUACUGGUCAUCUAUGAACAUUUGAACAUCUUGUCCAUGUUCUGUUAUAAUCUCCACCCGGCCCAGCCAGAAGAGGUGUUACGGCUGAUUUCCUCCUCUUCAUCUGAAGAGGAGGUGUAGCAGGGAUCGGAAAAGAGCUUUAUAAAGAGCUUUAUAAAAUACAUUUGAUUGAUUGAUUGAUCGGGCUUUUUGCCUCUGCCUUGCUUAUUGAAACUACAACAUCAACAUCCCCACUACUAAGUUCUUGUUUAGCCAGUACAUCAACUGCCUCGUAACCCUUCACCCCCACGUGGGCUGGGACCCAAGUUAAUCAUAUCGGUAUACCCAUCUAUCUAAUCCUGCCAUGGGUUUAUAGUACAUCAUAAAACAGGUCUUGUUUGCUGCGUGAGCUAAAGGACGGCAGACUCAUGAAUCAGAACAAAUAACUACUCUGUCUGGCUUGACUUCCUCCACCCACUGCAAGGUCAACAGUACGGCCGUCAGCCCUGCUGUAUAUACAGCCAGAUGAUCUGUAAUAUGUUUCCUGACUGAUACCCCACAUUCCUACACAACAAAUGCAACGACCCCAGUACAUCCUGUC
ensembl:lncRNA